UACGGGGGGGGCAAGCGUUGUUCGGAAUUACUGGGCGUAAAGCGCACGUAGGCGGAUUGUUAAGUCAGGGGUGAAAUCCUGGAGCUCAACUCCAGAACUGCCUUUGAUACUGGCGAUCUUGAGUCCGGGAGAGGUGAGUGGAACUGCGAGUGUAGAGGUGAAAUUCGUAGAUAUUCGCAAGAACACCAGUGGCGAAGGCGGCUCACUGGCCCGGUACUGACGCUGAGGUGCGAAAGCGUGGGGAGCAAACAGG
rnacentral:rRNA from 1 species